GUGGGCUUGGCGGAACUGGUAGACGCCCGAGACUUAAAAUCUUGUUUUCCUUAGGGAAAGUGCGGGUUCGACUCCCGCAGCCCACACCA
rnacentral:tRNA from 1 species